CCUGAGAAACCUAAAAGUYCGAAAAGAGAGAUUCAAUGUCAGCAUGUAUAAUAUUCACGUGAGUAGUGAUGCUUUUUAUUGGCACGGGGUAACCUACUGUCAAUUUUUGCACAUUUUCAUGUUAUUUUAUUGUUAUACCUGUCGGCGUGCACUUCUCUCUUAGUAGGACGUCCCGACCCGUUGGGUCUUGGCCUACGGCCCGAAUGGUAGCCUUUAAUAUAUUAUAUUGAAGACCUUUGGGUUCUUUCUGGCUAAGUGCUCGACGGUAGUUAUUGAAUAUGGUAUUAAGCCGCAAUUAUGCGUCUGGCCUGUCGCAAGUUUUUUACAAAUUCUGUAUUAUCAUAGACUUUGUGCUAUGUAUACGGUUUUGUUGGCUGUUUGCAUGACUGUGCUCUUGGACUGUCUUAUAUAUACCUGUCAGGGACGCUUAGGCUUUGGGUACUCUCAGGACCCGUCUUGAAACACGGACCAAGGAGUCUAACAUGUACGCAAGUCAUUGGGUUAUAUUAUUCUUCGGGAUUUUAUAUAAAACAAACCUAAAGGCGAAAUUAAAGUAAAGGUUGACUUAACAAAGUCAACUUAGGGAUGAUGGGUUAUUAAUUUAUCCCCGCAAUCCCAGGGCGUCUUAAUCUCUCGAGAUGA
rnacentral:rRNA from 1 species